rnacentral:rRNA from 1 species
AACACAUGCAAGUCGAACGAGAAAACCUGCUUCGGUAGGCGAGUAAAGUGGCGCACGGGUGAGUAACACGUGGAUUAUUUACCUUCGAGCUCGGGAUAAUCUGCCGAAAGGCGGUCUAAUACCGGAUAAUACCAUGUCGUUGAGGCGAUAUGGUCAAAGGUUGCCUCUCCCUGGAAGCUGUCGCUCGAAGAUAAGUCCGCGCACUAUUAGCUAGUUGGUAGGGUAAAGGCCUACCAAGGCGAAGAUGGUUAGCUGGUCUGAGAGGAUGAUCAGCCACACUGGAACUGAGACACGGUCCAGACUCCUACGGGAGGCAGCAGUGGGGAAUAUUGCGCAAUGGGGGAAACCCUGACGCAGCCACGCCGCGUGAGUGAUGAAGGCCUUCGGGUCGUAAAGCUCUGUCAGAUGGAAAGAAGGUCUGUUGGCGAAUAACCAGCAGGCGUGACGGUACCAUCAAAGGAAGCACCGGCUAACUCCGUGCCAGCAGACGCGGUAAUACGGAGGGUGCAAGCGUUGGUCGGAAUUACUGGGCGUUAAGGGCGUGUAGGCGGCUAGUACGUCAGGUGUGAAAUCCCAGGGCUUAACUCUGGAAGUGCAUUUGAAACUACGUGGCUUGAGUACGGGAGAGGAGUGUGGAAUUCCCGGUGUAGAGGUGAAAUUCAUAGAUAUCGGGAGGAACACCAGUGGCGAAGGCGGCACUCUGGACCGAUACUGACGCUGAGACGCGAAAGCGUGGGUAGCAAACAGGAUUAGAGACCCUGGUAGUCCACGCUGUAAACGUUGUGCACUAGGUGUAGAGGGUAUCGACCCCUUCUGUGCCGCAGCUAACGCAUUAAGUGCACCGCCUGGGGAGUACGGUCGCAAGAUUAAAACUCAAAGGAAUUGACGGGGGCCCGCACAAGCGGUGGAGCAUGUGGUUUAAUUCGACGCAACGCGAAGAACCUUACCUGGACUUGACAUCUCCGGAAUUUUCUGGAAACAGAGAAGUGCCUCGAAAGGGGAGCCGGAAGACAGGUGCUGCAUGGCUGUCGUCAGCUCGUGUCGUGAGAUGUUGGGUUAAGUCCCGCAACGAGCGCAACCCUUAUCUCUAGUUGCCACCAUUUAGUUGGGCACCCUAGAGAAACUGCUCCGGUCAACGGGGAGGAAGGUGGGGAUGACGUCAAGUCCUCAUGGCCUUUAUGUCCAGGGCUACACACGUGCUACAAUGGCAAGUACAAAGGGCAGCUAACCCGUGAGGGUACGCAAAUCCCAAAAAGCUUGUCCCAGUUCGGAUUGGAGUCUGCAACUCGACUCCAUGAAGUUGGAAUCGCUAGUAAUCGUGGAUCAGCACGCCACGGUGAAUACGUUCCCGGGCCUUGUACACACCGCCCGUCACACCACGAAAGUUGAUUGCACCAGAAAUCGCUGGGCUAACCGCAAGGAGGCAGGCGCCUAAGG